rnacentral:rRNA from 1 species
UCGCUCAACGGAUAAAAGGUACUCCGGGGAUAACAGGCUGAUACCGCCCAAGAGUUCAUAUCGACGGCGGUGUUUGGCACCUCGAUGUCGGCUCAUCACAUCCUGGGGCUGAAGUAGGUCCCAAGGGUAUGGCUGUUCGCCAUUUAAAGUGGUACGCGAGCUGGGUUUAGAACGUCGUGAGACAGUUCGGUCCCUAUCUGCCGUGGGCGCUGGAGAAUUGAGGGGGGCUGCUCCUAGUACGAGAGGACCGGAGUGGACGCAUCACUGGUGUUCGGGUUGUCAUGCCAAUGGCACUGCCCGGUAGCUAAAUGCGGAAGAGAUAAGUGCUGAAAGCAUCUAAGCACGAAACUUGCCCCGAGAUGAGUUCUCCCUGAGACUUUAAGUCUCCUGAAGGAACGUUGAAGACUACGACGUUGAUAGGUCGGGUGUGUAAGCGCAGCGAUGCGUUGAGCUAACCGAUACUAAUGAACCGUGAGG